GACAGAGGGUGCAAACGUUGUUCGGAUUUACUGGGCGUAAAGCGUGUGUAGGCGGCUUCACAAGUUGGAUGUGAAAUCCCACGGCUCAACCGUGGACGUGCAUCCAAAACUGCGUCGCUAGAGUCUCGGGGAGGAAGGUGGAAUGCUUGGUGUAGAGGUGAAAUUCGUAGAUAUCAAGCAGAACACCUGCGGCGAAGGCGGCCUUCUGGACGAUGACUGACGCUGAGACACGAAAGCGUGGGGAGCAAACAGG
rnacentral:rRNA from 1 species